AUGGGAGGCGGCAGCCUCUGGCUGCGGUCACCGCUGCCGGGCGCGCUGACCAAUGGCGACGCGGUUUGGCGGGAGGGGGCGUGGCCAGCGCCGCCCCCGGCGCGGUCCCGGCGCGGUCCCGGCGCGGUCCCGGCGCGGUCCCGGCGCGGUCCCGGCGCGGUCCCGGGGCGGCGGCGGCGGCGGAGCGGGGCGGGGGCGGCGGCCCCGCAGGUGAGUCCCGCGUCCUGCCCGGAGCGGGCACCGAGCCCCGGCCCCGCACAGGGGGUCCCGUCCUGGAGUGCCCCCGCCGCGCAGCAGCCCUGGCCCCGCCGUUCCCGCGCGGGUUCUCCCCGCCGCCCCCGCAGCAUCGCCCUCGCCGGUGUGCAGAGGCGCAGCCCCGUGCCCCCCCCCCCCCCCGCCACGAUCCCCCCUGCGCUGUACACCGCGCCCCGCUGCACCGCACCGUCCUGGAGCCCACCGUUAAUAACGCCCCGGUGCACCGUGCAGCCCCCGCUGGCCACGAGCCCGCUCCCGGUGCUGCGGGAGGCCCCCCCGCCGCCUCCCCCCGCUGCAGGUGCAGGGCUCGGUUCAGCGCUUUUCCUCCUUUUUUAUUUUCCGGGGUGCACGCCCCGACUCCCCGCCGUGCCUCCCGUUCCCGGGGGGUUUUGGGACGAGCAGCCCCCCCCCCCACCCCGAUCUUCCCCCGCCUUCCCAAACCGGGCCCCCCACUCCGGUCCCCCCGCAUCCUCCGGGGGUCCCCGGCGCCCCGCACUGACGGUCACGGCCCCGGGUGGCCCGAACCGCCCGGUUUUGGGGAGCGGGGGUCCUGGGGUGGCCCUGCCGCAGUCCCCCCACCCCGCACCCGCCGUCCCUCUCGGGGACUCGGUGGCCGCGGCCACCAGCGGGGACUUUGGCCGGCGGCGCGUUCGUGGCGUUCGCGGCCGCCCGGGACCGGCGGGGCUGUGGGGUUCAGCCGCCCCCCGCCCCGGCCCCUCCCGGUUUUUUCGCCCCCCGUUUGUCGGGGGGGCCGCGCUGAGCCCGCCCCGCCCGUGA
rnacentral:lncRNA from 1 species